GGUGGGAACAAAAGCUCUUCAGUCGGCAGUCAGCAAGCGAUUUAGUAAGGUGCUUGGCUACGUCGUUGAAGACAAAAAAGUUCUCAAGGUCUGGGUUGCUGAA